rnacentral:rRNA from 1 species
AGAGUUUGAUCCUGGCUCAGGAUGAACGCUGGCGGCGUGCUUAACACAUGCAAGUCGAACGAAGCACUUUAUUUGAUUUCUUCGGAAUGAAGAUUUUGUGACUGAGUGGCGGACGUGUGAGUAACGCGUGGGUAACCUGCCUCAUACAGGGGGAUAACAGUUGGAAACGACUGCUAAUACCGCAUAAGCGCACAGGGUCGCAUGACCUGGUGUGAAAAACUCCGGUGGUAUGAGAUGGACCCGCGUCUGAUUAGCCAGUUGGUGGGGUAACGGCCUACCAAAGCGACGAUCAGUAGCCGACCUGAGAGGGUGACCGGCCACAUUGGGACUGAGACACGGCCCAAACUCCUACGGGAGGCAGCAGUGGGGAAUAUUGCACAAUGGGGGAAACCCUGAUGCAGCGACGCCGCGUGAGCGAAGAAGUAUUUCGGUAUGUAAAGCUCUAUCAGCAGGGAAGAAGAAAUGACGGUACCUGACUAAGAAGCACCGGCUAAGUACGUGCCAGCAGCCGCGGUAAUACGUAUGGUGCAAGCGUUAUCCGGAUUUACUGGGUGUAAAGGGAGCGCAGGCGGUGCGGCAAGUCUGAUGUGAAAGCCCGGGGCUCAACCCCGGUACUGCAUUGGAAACUGUCGUACUAGAGUGUCGGAGGGGUAAGCGGAAUUCCUAGUGUAGCGGUGAAAUGCGUAGAUAUUAGGAGGAACACCAGUGGCGAAGGCGGCUUACUGGACGAUAACUGACGCUGAGGCUCGAAAGCGUGGGGAGCAAACAGGAUUAGAUACCCUGGUAGUCCACGCCGUAAACGAUG